GACGGGGGGGGCAAGUGUUCUUCGGAAUGACUGGGCGUAAAGGGCUCGUAGGCGGUCCAUCGCGUCGGGAGUGAAAAGCUGGGGCUUAACCCCAGUCCUGCUUCCGAUACGGGUGGACUAGAGGUAGGUAGGGGAGAACGGAAUUCCUGGUGUAGCGGUGAAAUGCGCAGAUAUCAGGAGGAACACCGGUGGCGAAGGCGGUUCUCUGGGCCUUACCUGACGCUGAGACGCGAAAGCGUGGGGAGCGAACAGG
rnacentral:rRNA from 1 species